CUCCGAUUAGCAGACACAACAGCGCGCGAAGGAACUCAAUCGGAUGGGAGACUCCCCAAAGAACUCCCUCGCCCAUCUACUCUGC